CUACGGGGUGCUGCAGUCGAGAAUCUUCCGCAAUGGACGAAAGUCUGACGGAGCGACGCCGCGUGCGGGAUGAAGGCCUUCGGGUUGUAAACCGCUGUCAGUGGGGAGGAAAUGCAUCAGGGUUCUCCCUGGUGUUUGACCGAUCCGCAGAGGAAGCGCAGGCUAAGUUCGUGCCAGCAGCCGCGGUAACACGAACUGCGCGAACGUUAUUCGGAAUCACUGGGCUUAAAGAGUUCGUAGGCGGCCUUUCAAGUCGGGUGUGAAAUCCCUCGGCUCAACCGAGGAAUUGCGCCUGAUACUGUUGGGCUUGAGGGGGAUAGGGGUGAGCGGAACUGAUGGUGGAGCGGUGAAAUGCGUUGAUAUCAUCAGGAACACCGGUGGCGAAGGCGGCUCACUGGAUCUCUUCUGACGCUGAGGAACGAAAGCUAGGGGAGCGAACGGGAUUAGAUACCCUUGUAGUC
rnacentral:rRNA from 1 species